UUUCUUUUAAAGGCUGAAGGGAAGAGAGAAAGAAGGAAUCAUAAUUUGAAGAAGUGCAGUGUCUUGUGUGGUUCGAAGAAGAAAUCUAGUCCAAUGUAAGUCCAAUUAUGUCCUGAUAAAAUUAGAGAUAACGUUAGAUCAACUGGAUAACCAAUGAAUAAAGGCUUUCAGGAUUGUUGAUACAGCUCAUAGUCAUUCCACACUUCGGUUAUGAGAUCAACCAUAAUCAAGAGUCAUAAGAGUGUUAAUCCAAAUCAAAGAAACUGUUAGGCUAAGUUCAUUGUUCCCUACAAAAAUUUUGACUCAAUAAAACACAAAAAAUAAAAAUAAAAAUUUGGACUGACUCGAUAAAACUCCAAAAGAAUAAACGAUGUUAGUAACUACCUC
rnacentral:lncRNA from 1 species